rnacentral:misc_RNA from 1 species
AUAAGCCUCCGGCUAUUGAGAUGAGUAUUAUUCUGAAUGGCACGAUAUAAUUGUGUGUUUUUAUGAAAUUCGUUUUGAGACUUCCUAAAUGAAAUUGUUUAGACUAAAAAAAUUUAUAAAUCAUGUUUUGUAUAUGUUUUUCAUGUUCAGUACCAUAUUUGAAUAAAUAUGAUUUGAAUUAUGCAUAAAAUGUUAUUUUAGUAUGUUGUGUACCACUGAGUCAUAGUACUCAGCGAUGGCUGUUGUUGUUGUCGCAGAUAUAGAGACUAGAGG